CUAAGGUGGAUUUGACAAUUGACUUCUUAUUUAACCUAUAUGUUCCAAGGGAUAAAUAUAAUGGAACAAAUCGUGUUAUAAAUACCAGGAACCUUAACCCAAUUCUCACAAGUCACAACACAAGUACUUACCAAUUACCAUCAAAAAAAGUUGUCGCAAGUACAAAAGCAAAACAAAGUUGGAAAAAAAAUGGCCAAAACCACUACUUUCGGCCUUAUCGCCAUAUGGCUUAUGGUCCUUCUAAUUGCAAACACGGAAAUCCAAACUGCAGAAGCACAGAGGCAGCCUACCUGUGGAUGGCUAAGAAUUGGGACUUUACAUAGAUUCCGCUGCAACACCAGGUGCAAUGACAAUUGCCGGAACAGGAGGCCGCGAACUAUUACUGACUCAAGAGGCAGAUAUGGUCGUUGCACUGACGGUUCUGGCUUUACUCGCAGAGUCUGCGAGUGUUACUUCCGUUGCUAAGCUUAGCUUAGCGACUACUUAUCAUCCAACUAUCAUGUGAAAGACUCCUGCAGUUCAAAAAGUGUGUGUAAUAUGUACUCCACUCCAGUCUCCGUUCAUGUGAACUAUAGUUUAUAAAUUAUGAUUUAUAGUUGUGUAAUAAAGUGGAGUAAAGUAACCAAAGAAUUAUUAAAGUUGUUGUUAAACCUAUUACUAUGUGUAUGGAUUAAUAAAGACAGUGUUGUUGUUGCGUGUCGAA